UCCAAGCUAGGAAAGUCGGUUUCAACUUUCAAGCCAAUGCUAGGGUUUCGGCUCUUCUUCCUUCAUCUACAUCAAAGAAGUUUUUCUGCGUUCUCAAACUAAAAUGAUGGUAUCGAUUGAUUGGCUCACAUCAACAUGAUGUAUCUCUUUCUUGAUCUUCGUUCGCGUCGUUCGGGCAACUCUCCUAGAUUUUGAGAAUGUCGUCGUUCGAGGUUUCUGUUCCCUCCGUGAUUUGCUCCUCCGCAGAUUGGGACAACAAGAAGACGAAGAAGAGGAACAAAAAGAAGAAGAAAGGAAGCUACGAGGAGGGUUCGGUUAGGUUCUUGAGCGAGUCUAGAGACGUUGAUGGCAGCGGCGGCUGCGUCGCUGUUCCUGAUGUUUGGUGCGGUCCAGGACUAGGGUGACAAGAACAGUUCGAACCAAACAGAGCGAAUAGCUUCGGUUUAGGCAGAAACUGUUUGGUGUGGUUUGAGCUAUAGUCGUUGUAGCAUCCCUAUGUUGUCGCUGGGGACCAACAAAAGUCAUGUCGAUCUGUGGCUUGAAUUGAUCGAUUUGGUGACACUGAUUAUCACCAGGAGACAAGCUUCUUCUCAGAGUUAGGGGAGCUCCGCUUGCUCUGAUUCAUGUCUCCUCCUCUGAUCCUUUGCCUCACCUUAGUAUCAAAAACAUACCAAUCGAGACAUCAUCUGCGCAGUUUAUACGUCAAUGGUACACUGCUGCUUCCAGUGGACAGAAGCUUCAAAACUCUAUAACAAACGCUUAUGGGGAAGCUCAUGAUGAUCACUUCUGAGCUUCAGACUGCGACAAGAAGUGUAGGGAACCGGACGAACCCGUCCAAGGCUGAGAGUGGAGGUUUCGUUCUCUGGCAGAUAGAUCUAUACAUAUAUAUUAACAGUUUUGUAAUGUUCUCAUCUUCUGUUUGGAUCAUUUGAUUUGAUGUUUCUGCUUAUGCGUGUUGAGAGUCUUUUUUGGUUUCUUUAGAUUAUGCUUGAUAUCGUGUUAUCUGAGUUUCAAGUUAUUAAUAAU